rnacentral:rRNA from 1 species
AAUCAACGGUGGCGGCGUGCCUCAGACAUGCAAGUCGAACGCGAAAUUUCCCUUCGGGGAGAAAGUAGAGUGGCGCACGGGUGAGUGACACGUGGGUAAUUUACCUUCGGGUGGGGAAUAACGUCUCGAAAGAGACGCUAAUACCGCAUGAUGCAGCGGCACCACAUGGUGACAGUUGUUAAAGCGGGGGAUCGCAAGACCUCGCGCCUGAAGAGAAGCCCGCGGCAGAUAGCUAGUUGGUAAGGUAAUGGCUUACCAAGGCAACGAUCUGUAGCCGGCCUGAGAGGGCGGUCGGCCACACUGACACUGAAUAACGGGUCAGACUCCUACGGGAGGCAGCAGUCGGGAAUUUUGGGCAAUGGGCGGAAGCCUGACCCAGCAACGCCGCGUGAAGGAUGAAGUA